GAUGAACGCUAGCGGCAGGCUUAAUACAUGCAAGUUGAGGGGCAGCAUGAUAUACGCGAGUAUAUUGAUGGCGACCGGCGGACGGGUGAGUAAUAGGUAGGAGACCUACCUCAUACAGGGGGAUAGCAUAGAGAAAUCUGUGGUAAUACCCCAUGAGGUUAUAUGAAUAGAGGCAUAUAAUCAAAGCAUAAGUGAUUAUGCGGUAUGAGAGGGGCCUACUGACCAUUAGCUAGUUGGUGAGGUAAGGGCUCACCAAGGCGAAGAUGGUUAGGGGUUUUGAGAGAGAGACCCCCCACAUUGGAACUGAGAGACGGUCCAGACUCCUACGGGAGGCAGCAGUAGGGAAUAUUGGGCAAUGGGCGAAAGCCUGACCCAGCCAUGCCGCGUGAAGGAAGACGGCCUUAUGGGUUGUAAACUUCUUUACUACGCGAAUAGAGGUUAGUACGAGAUACUAAUAGGAAGGUAGUGUAGUAAAAAGCAACCGGCUAACUCCGUG
rnacentral:rRNA from 1 species